rnacentral:rRNA from 1 species
CGGAACGUGCCCAAUCGUGGGGGAUAGCUCGGCGAAAGCCGGAUUAAUACCGCAUACGAUCUACGGAUGAAAGCAGGGGACUUGCAAGAGCCUUGCGCGAAUGGAGCGGCCGAUGGCAGAUUAGGUAGUUGGUGGGGUAAAGGCUCACCAAGCCGACGAUCUGUAGCUGGUCUGAGAGGACGACCAGCCACACUGGGACUGAGACACGGCCCAGACUCCUACGGGAGGCAGCAGUGGGGAAUUUUGGACAAUGGGCGCAAGCCUGAUCCAGCAAUGCCGCGUGCAGGAUGAAGGCCUUCGGGUUGUAAACUGCUUUUGUACGGAACGAAAAGGCUCUGGUUAAUACCUGGGGCUCAUGACGGUACCGUAAGAAUAAGCACCGGCUAACUACGUGCCAGCAGCCGCGGUAAUACGUAGGGUGCGAGCGUUAAUCGGAAUUACUGGGCGUAAGGCGUGCGCAGGCGGUGAUGUAAGACAGUUGUGAAAUCCCCGGGCUCAACCUGGGAACUGCAUCUGUGACUGCAUCGCUGGAGUGCGGCAGAGGGGGAUGGAAUUCCGCGU